CCGAGCGCACCUGGGCGGGGCGCGCACCCCGCGGUGGGCACCGGCUCGCCGGCCUGCCUGCCUGCCGGGCGGGUGGUAGGAACUGGGCAGGGAACCACCUGGCCACCUGUGGCUGUGUAGGGCGAGGCCGGUGGACUAGCUGUCGAGAAUUGAGUGGAAGAAACAGAGAGGCGUACCUGGGGCCCCAAUUUCUGUCCCGGAACCUAAAAGAAGCUUUGUCAGUGCCACAGGGCUACUGCGAGGGGCGGGGAGAGUGGUCCAUGAGGUUCUAGGUGUGCAGCACCGGGAAGUGGAGAGGGAUGUAGUUUGGGGUGCAGGUACACGUUCCUGAGACAUCAGAAAGCAGUGAGGCUGGUUCAGACCUGCUGUGCCAACAAGAACUGCACUGGGUUGGAUGCAUGCUUUGAUUUGCCAGCCUGGUUGACUGGAUAGUAGUGGACAUUACUGUGGCGACUCCUGUGCGGACUGGUGGGCAAAAAUACCAGCAGAGGCAGCAGGUGCUGAAACCUCAGGGCAAGUCAACCUAAAGGCCCAGAUCCACCAAACCUCACCUCUCCACACUGCUAAUUGACACCAGGGGAACAGGAAAAGAACCUGGUGGCUAUGAAGUUCAGCCCUACAAAUACAGCAAUUGUACUAGGUUCUUCGAGUUAGAAUAAAAGACUAGUAAGAUGCAAGAUUCUGUGACUGGACUCGGUAUUCAGAAGCCAGCCCUAAGCCUUUCUGCCUCUGAGCCCCAACUUUCCGAUUAAGGAAAGAUGGGAAGGUCAGACUUUGUACAAAAUGUAAGUCCUGGGGUGGUUGCAAAGCCUUCAGUUCCCCCAGCCCCAGUGCCCACUCAGAACAGGUGAGCCACUUCACACCUGCAGCAUGGCCUGGCCUCAUUCUGAAUGCAAAUACUCAGAGCACUUUCCCACCCUAGGGCCUCUGGGAUCUGUAUGAACCCUGCUGGCUCUACUCGGAUACCUGCUACUCAGGGAGGCCUUUUGUGACCCCUUUGCACUAAAGCACAACCCCAUUCUCAAUUCCCAUCUGCUUCUUGUCCAGUGUCUUGAAUUUGACACUCUUGCUCAUUGUCAUUGUCUUGAUGUUCCUCAUGGAUGCUUAUCACUUUAGUGUGUGUGUGUGUGUGUGUGUGUGUGUGUGUGUGUGUGUGUGUGUAUGUUUAUAAAGUGCUUCCAUGUAUAUGCAUACAAAUUUUAUAUUUAUAUAAAUAAAUAUGGGUGUGUGAAUUAUAUAUACAUGGGAUAUAAGUAUAUGCAUAUGUCCAUACUGUAUUCGAUAUGGUUUUUUGUUUUUAUGUGUUUGACUUGGGUUUCUUUCCUGAGAAUGUGACUCGGUGUUCGAACAGUGGGCCUUGUCUGAUUUUUUUCAUUACUCUCAACAUUUAGGAGAGCAAGUGAGGGUGGAUUAGGGCUCACUACAUAAAGAGAACAUUGAGUGAAUGAAUUUCUAGGCUGCUUUCCAGCUCUGGGUGUGGGUAUCAGAAGUUACCUCCUGGAAUCUCUAAGAUCUCUCCAUGCUCUGGACACUACUGUGGGAAAGAGUAGCCUGGGAGAGGCCAGCAGGCCAGGAACUAGGGAUCUAGACCCCAGCGAAUAUCUCAAGAAGUAUCAGUGGCUCAGAUGGUGGGCAGAGAUAGCAGCUAGAAGUCAUGAGCACGGAAGGCAGUUGGUUCUCAGAGAGAGAGAAUACCACACAAAAAGAAUUAGAGGAAGUCAGGCACUGUCCACCUCAAGGCUGAGCUUCCCAUUUCUGUCCUAGGAAAAAGGCCCUGGUAGCAUUGGGCUUGGACAACUUCCAAUUCUAGGGAAGCCACUAAACACCAUAAUCUGAGAAACCCAAAAGGGAAGUGGAGUGGGUGGAAGAAACUGAGAAGACUUACCACAGUGAAGCACAAGGCAAGGUUGGGGCUUAAUACCCGUAGGCAGAUCUAAGCUCCUGAUGCCUCUGCUCGGAAUGUAAAUAGGCCAGCCCUGACAAUCAGGACCCAGCUUCCCUUAUGGAAAGGGUCCCAACAGAUCCAUCUAUGCACAAUUGUUCCCAAAAUCAUAUCUUUCUCACAGGUACCUAUGAAGGCCGGUAAUAGGUAGAACCAAACAGGGAAAACAGAAAUAACACGCAGAAGGCAUAGCUCUUUGAGACAGAGGCUGUAAAACAAAGGUCUGAGGAGGAUUCUGUACAGUACCACAUGCCGAGAUGACUUGACCUUGGAGGUCACUGGAUGCUUUCAUGUACACCUUGAUCUGAGUAGAGCAAAUAACAUAAUGACAUGUUAGGACACUGAUUCCAGGAAGAGGAUGAUUCCUCCCUGCAUGCACUUUAAAAUGCCUUUCAACAAACCAACACUCUUUCAAAUAUUGACCUUCACAAAAUAUUUUAUAGACCUGCAAACAGCCAAGAUAUUCUGAUAAUUAUCUGUAAUUGCUGAGGGGGUAAGGAUGUAGUAUUUGUCAGUUUGCAUGAUGUGACUAGUCCACAUGGACUGAUGAUGUCAGGUUCCCAUCAAGGUGUUCCUGAAGGAAGAAGGGGGAGGCAACACGCUUGCACUUCUUCAGAUCUCAACUUCCUAUGUGCUACACAAAGGCUGUACCUCUGUCCCUUUCAUCCAAGAGCACAGCUAAGCACUAGCUGUGCAUCUCGGGGUUGGGACUGGUGAGGCUGAUGACUCAGGGGAAAGAGCCAGCACCAGAGUCCAGGUCACUGGAGGGACUUUCUUGUCUUACUGUGUCCCAAUCUCCCCUUUCCCUUCUACCUUUCCUCUCAAGUCUUGCCUUUCCUCUGGGAGGGACACCUGGGACCUCAGAGGCCCUACUACUGUACACCCAGACCAUAUACAAGGUGCCCAGGAUGGCCCAGGGUCACCACAAGGGGACAUAAAGAUGGGUAGAGGUGAAUCUAGCUAGGUCGGUGCUUCCUGAAUUAGAAUGUGAGAAGGGUGCAGAUUCUGAUCCAGUUAGUGAGGCACCUGAGAGCUUUUGUUCCUAAUGGGCUCUCAGGGAUGCAAAAUUUGCUGGCCCAGGGACUGAAGGUCACACACAGUAGCUUCUGGACUGAUCCUGCACUGACUGGUAGUGUUGCCAGCAGCAAAUUCCUUCUCUCUAAACAUUCAUUUCCUCCUGUGCAAUGUGAGAGCAACCUAAACGGAUCCAGGUUUUGUGGGGCCUUAACCUUACAUGAUUUCAGGAACCUUUUAAAAAUAAUAACAUGAUUGAUACAAAUUGUAAUUCUAAGGUGGUUAUUUAUUGUAUGGAUAAAAUUUUGUGGCCUUCUGAAGAAUAAUAAAGUCCUAGUCUAUAAUCCACAGUAUUUGGAGAAAGGUUCUAAGUCAGUAAGAUAAAACAAUAACAUGCUGUUGAAUCUCUACUCCAUUGUGGUAGAUGUCCUAUAGGAAAAAAAGAAAUACCAGCAUUCUCAGUAUGCUCAACAAAGGCCACCCGAGGACACAGUGAGAGGUUGGCGGUGUGGAACCCAAGGAGAAAGUCCUCACCAGAACACAAGCCCAGCAGCAUGUCAAUCAUGUCUUUUUCAGUGUUCAGAGACAUUAGAAAAUGAAUUUCUGCUUUUUAAGCUACCCAUUCCAUCGUAUUUUUGUUAUGGCAGUCUGAAGAGACUGAAAAAGAUUUAGAAAAUAAACCAUUAAAACAAUUGUUCAAAGUUGACACACCACUAAAAACCAGCAGGUUGCUAGCAUAUCAGUAAGUCAGCUCCCCAGGGGUAAGAAUAAAGAGUAAUAUUUAUCUCACAUGUCUGGGUAAGGAUUAAACAAGAUAUCACUUAUCAAUGGCUUACGGUGGCACCUGGCACUCAUAAGCAAUCAAUUCUUUUUAAUUCUGAUUGCACAGAUUAGAUAUUCGUUUUUCUUGAGGUGCAUAGUUCCCUUCAAACGUGUGUGACCAGAGUUCUAGCUCCUUGAACCAUUGCUAGAACAUAAACAAAAGCCACACCCCAGUCAUUUUGCUCUGGCAGGUGACACGAGUUGGGUGGUGGCGGGAAGGUUAUUGGCGGUAAACAGUGCCAGAGCAGGGAUGCCUUUCUCCUCACGGGAGUGAAGCUUGAGAAGUAACUCGGGACCAAAGUCUCUUCUUCAGCCAUCUUGCUUGGGUGCUUGAAGUCCUAGGAACCACUUUCCUGGGGAGAGUGUGAGUUUCACAGCUGCAACUGUGUGUUAUUUCUGUGCAGCUUGUGGCACCCACCUGGAGUCUGCAACAAUUUUAGGCCCAAGGUCUCUUGAGAAGAGACCUGAUAACCCCAUGUCCUGACAUCCAUGUUGCUAUUCCAUUCUCAACUCUACUUCAAGGUAAAGGCUGAACUGCUUUCUUGUUGCUAGUUUUGGCUCUUUUGGGGGGGCCUGCCACCCAGCUCCCAAAUAAAUCACACAGGGAGGCUUAUUCUUAGUUAUACACGCCUGGCCUUAGCUUGGCUUGUUUCUUGCCAGCUUUCCUUGACUUAAAUAACCUGUCUACCUUUUGCCUCUGGGUUUUUCCAGUCUCUUAUUUCUGUAAAUCUUACUCUUACUCUGUGGCUUGCUGUGCAGCUGGGUGACUGGCCCCUGGAGUCCUCCUCCUUCUCUGGCUACCUUUAUGUCUCCUCCCUCCAGAUUUCUUCUUCUAUAUAUUCUCUCUGCCUGCCAGCCCCACCUAUCCUUUCUCCUGCCUUGCUAUUGGCCAGUUCUUUAUUAGACCAUCAGGCGUUUUAGACAGGCACAGUAGCACAGCGUCACAGAGUUAAAUGCAACAGGAACAAAAGUAACACACCUUAAAAUAAUAUUCUACAACACUUUCUCUUUAGGAUGGUAUCCUCAAUGAUUAAUUUUGAGUGUCAACUUGAUUGGAUUGGGAAGUGCCCGGGGAUCAGUAAAAUACAUCUCUGGGCAUGUUAGUGUGGACAUUUCCAGAGAAGAUAAGUUAGCUGAGAGGGGAAGCCCUACUUUGAAUUCACUGUCCUCUCUGAAUGAAAUAAACUGGGAAAAAGGAGAGAGCCAGCUAAGGGCAGUCAUUCUCUGUCUCUCUAUUUGCUGCAGUGGGAUUUGCUCUGUUCACCCCAUCCUCUCCACCACAAAGGAAUGACGCAUCAGGCACGAUGAGCAAAAGAAACCCUCCUUCUCUUAAGUUACAUUGCCCGUUCUGUCACAGCAACUCAAAGGCCCGCUAGCCCAUGUGUCUUAGCCAGUUUUGUGUGUUCUACAACAAUACUUGAUACUAGGGUUCCCUUGAAGAAAUGCAAAGCUGUUUUCCAAAAUGGUUGCACUAUUUUACAGACUUGCCAGCAAUGGAUGAGGCUUAUGGGAGGAGUUCCUAUCUUACUCUACUUCAAAAUCACAGUCUGUGAGCUGAAUCCGUGUCUCCACUUUGCUUCAUUUAUUUCCUUUGAACCCCCACCCCCAGCAAUUAAACAGUAUAGAUACUCAUUUGUCUCUUCCUCUCUUUGAGUAAUAAUUAUAAUAACUUCAUGUACCCAGUGGACAAUACCCCAGUGUUUGUUGAACCAUAGCAAAAGUUAAUAUUUAAAAGCAGUGGCUAUAGGGGCUGGUGGUGGACAGUUGCAGGGUCCAGCAUGUGGGUGAGAUUCAGCAUCCAAUGCUGCAAAAAGUAAAACAAAAUCAAAAUACAACAAUUAGAUGCCAUGGACUAUGAUAAACUUGUUAAGAAAUGCUAAUCACUUAAUGUUUAAGGAAACCCCAAAGGGCUUGAGUAUAGCUCAGUGAUAGGGUGCUUAUCUGGGUUCUAUCCCCAGCACUGCCCUCUACAGAAAAUCAGCACAAAACAUAGGUAUCAUUGCUGUCACCAUUUUACAAUGGGGAAAAAACAAGAGUUUGGGAGCCUCAGAAAGUUAUUCAUGUUUGCACAAAGCAAGGGCUUGUUCCCUGGAAUCUUACCCUGGAUACUAGGCUCUUCACCAUCCACAAAGCACAGUUGCUCUCAUGUAUGCCGGCUGCCCAGCUCUUCUGACGAUGAUUCAACACAGAAGUAGCGCCAACACUUAGAGUUUGUCGGAAAGUGUGUGCUGUGCUUACAGCCAAACAGCAAACGGAGAGAAUGUGUAGGUGUGGCUCGCCUGCCACGUUGUCAUGAAGCUUUAUUUAAGCCACCAGCUGUCAUCAUUUUUCUUCUGAUGAGAUCAUUCUGGGAGCUCUGCUUCUGGUUGAGGGAAGCAUCGCUUGGCCGCUCUGCCUUGAUGUGCAGUCGGGGUGAACUUAUAUAACAUCGCACCUCCACCCUCAGCCCACACGAGGAUUAUGCAACUGCGUGUAGGAUUCUUUGCAGGGGUUUCCGGAAAUAUGAGCCUGCACAGAAAAGGCAUCAAGCUGUUCUGACUAAAGAAGACUUCCCGACCUGGGCCUGUGUGUGUGUUCUGUCUCUAUGAAGUAUUUUGCCUCAAAGAACUUGCCUGGUUAAAAGUCAGCAGAAAGUAAAUCUCAGAAGUCAACAGAUAAUGCAGUUGUGGAGGAAAGCCCCAGCACAGGGUUUCAGCAGAGGCGACCGCACCAAAGAUGGUCAUUGACUAAACGAGAGGAUCUUGGGGAGCCACCACUCGUGGCAGGACCACUGAUCUGUGAAGUAUGGAAAAAAACAUCUUGGGGGAGUUUCAGAGCUAUGGGUGCCUUGGAGAUCCUUAAGGAUACUAGGAUAGAGACAGAGAGUUCUCAUGGAGGCCAUGCCAACAUCAGCACGCUAAACUGCAGAAGCAGUGGCUUCCCACACUUCCAGAUUAAAAAGUAUCCCAAGAGAACAGAUCUUAAAUGCAGGCAGCUCUGUGAUAUUCACUCUUCUGAAGGUUACAGCUAAUGUUGAGCUGUAUUUAUUUACCCUCCCAAACCCAGAAGCGAAAAUGAAGGGACGGGAUUGAUUCUUGAAUUCUGGAAUGGAGAGACCCAAGAUCACUUCUCUUUCCGUCCUCAUCUCUCCUCCAACCUGGGUGUCAUAAGGAUUGCAGAUGCUCCCAGCACAGUCCUUACAGUGUUGCUUCUCUGAGGUCAAAGGUGCCUGAGUCCUACAUCUGCACAACUAGUGAAAUCAUUGAAAUAAUGCUGAGAAGAAUGAGACGGCCAAUUCUCGGUGGCUCCCUACCUCCAUUCGGGUCUUGCUGCAGCUGUCACUCUUUAAAAAACAGAAGGUAAUAAAGCUGCUUUUGGUCACCUGGGGGAUAGUGAUUCGACUUUGUUGACACUAGUCUAAAAGUGGGAUCAUGACUUGAUCAUUUUCAUCUAGGGACUCAGGGAGCAAGGCAGUGGCAGGGCCUCUGGAUCAGACACUCAGGGACUUGAAUUAGCAGUGUAAGUACUACAAGAGAAGCUAGGCUACCAGGAGCAGAAGCUAACAUGGAAAGGCAAUGAUGGCAAGAAUUUACUGACUACAUGCCAGUCAGCAUUCCAUGACUGUGACAAAGUACCUGAAUGAAUCAAUCCAUGAAGCAGAGCGUUUGUCUGGGCUUCCAGUUUCAGUCCAUGGUUACGUGGACCUCUUGUCUUGGGCAUGUGGCAGCACAACGUACCACAAGAGCAAAUGGCAUAGUGGUCAUACUCACAUCAUGACCACUGGAAAGCAAAGACAGACAAAGAGAAGCCAGAGUCGUAAUGAUCCCUUUAAGAGUAUGCCUUGAAGGAUCUAACUUCCUGCUACUAGUCCUGAGCGCCUGAAUGUUUCACCAUUUUGCACAAGUGCCAUGAGUUAUGGACUAAAUUUCAAUGCAUGGCCCUUGUGGAACUUUUCAUAAAAUGUUAUCUUAAAACUCCAUACUUCAUUU